AAAUGUGUGCCGACCGGUUGCUACUCACGCGGCCCCUCUAGAAAUGUGCCCCCUUCUCUUUCCCCACGACCCUGAUCUCCACUGCCGUUCCUCCUUACCCAUCCUGAUUUACUGUCGUUCUCAACGCCGGCCGCUUUGCCUGCUUCCGGAGCCUACCAUCGAGAUGGUGUGGACCGCACCGGAGAGCGCUGCCGCCCGGAACUCCUCGGUCAUCGCUAAUCUAGGCGGCUUCGUCAGCUGAGGAGCGACGACUUGGCCUCUGCCGCUGCACGCCGCCGGCCGGGGCCGCGUUGGCAGCAUGGAGGACGAGGUUGGGCCGACUCUAAGGUUGGCGGGGAAGGAGAGGCAGCAACGCUAGCUGCAGAACUCGGGGCCCGGCCGAACCGAGGGUGUCGUCGAGAUUCUCGAUGGUAAUCUCUGACGGAGGAUCCAGUGAUGGUGAAAUCCUACAGAGAUGGUCUUACGACAAGCUCCAUCCACCAGCGGCUAGACGGCGAGACCAGACUGCGACGGCGUGUCCACCCCGGUGCUAGGCGGAGCAAGGUGGACGCCCUCCUCCCCCCCUCCCCAGGUUCCCCUUCCCUGUUUCAUCUGCCGCCUCCCCGUCUCUACUCUCCUUGCACCCCCUCGACGCCUUCUCCUUCUUCUUUUUUCAGCUCUUGAAUUGGCGACCAUGGGGAAGGAAGGACGGACAACCGCAGCAGGGUGUGGUAGGAUUGCAUCCUCAAUCUCCCCCCUCUCCCUGCGCGCUGCGCCGGUCGCUCUCAGUGGAGGAAGCAUCCAAUUAGGUGGUGGUGGCUCCGACGGUUUGGGUACAACACGUCUGGUUGCAGAGAGGCAGGUGAUUAGAGUAGAAGCCGGCAAGCGGCGUCCGGAGAUUGCGCAAUGACCAACAAGUGGCUGAUGCUUGCACAUGGAAUGCUCUCUCUGAAGUUGUUCAAGACAAAGGUAUGACGAUUGCUUCAGAGAGGAAUGUUGAGUCGUAUGAUUUCUCUAAGCUGCCAAUUGUUCUCUUUUACACUUCUGUUGGGUCACACCUUUUAAGAAUCAAUUAGCAUAACUUCUUUCCUGGUAUGUGGAUCGGACUACUUAGUCUUCAGGCUAGAAAAAUACUUUUUUUAUCACCCGACAUGAUCUCCUGGUAUGUCUAGUGGCUUAUCACCGGUUAGCAAGUUCAUAACCGUCUCUACGAGAUCAGAUAUUGCUUCCUGUUAAGUAGAAUACAAUUUUGUUGACCACACACUGUUACGUGUCAUAGCCAUAUGCGACAAUUAUGUCACACUGUUGACCACACACAAUGAGCCUACACUUUUAUGUGCUAGCAUUGGUGCCUUUUUUCCUCUGAACACGAUUUCUGCAGUGCAGAAUGACUAUUUCAAGUCUUCUCCGAAACAAUGGUUAGUGUAAGCUUAGGGCAUGUUUGGUUGGGAACCGCAUUUUUGCCACAACUAAGUAUAAGCGUGUGCCACACUUGUGGCGUGACUAACCUGUGGUAGAAAUAAGGAUGUUUGGUUGGUUGCCACAUCUUAGUUGAGUUGUGGCAAAUUGAGUGAGGCACCCGUUUUAGAUGAUUGCCAUGUAUUCUGCCACAUGUGUGGCAAAAAAGUGUGGAUGGUGUUUGUUUGAUAGCCAAAGCUGAUAGAGUCACCCCCCUUGAAUGAAGUGGUGAGCUUUCCCUCUUAUGCUCAUGCAUGUCAGACAUCAUUGAUUAUUGCCAUGAAAAAAAUACCCAGGUACAAAAUAGAGCAAUCAAUCUAGCUUAUCAUAAUCCAUUAAACAUCACAUGCAAUAGUUCAUUACAGUAACCACUUGCACUGGUUCACACCAACCAGUAUAGCAACAAAAUAUCACAUGAUCGAUGCUAUUAUACAUAAGCAACUAACAGUUCUUGCACCUAGGAACUACUUGCAAAUCUACAUAGUUGGUCAUAUUAGCAGUACUACACAAGCAUCGGGUCGCUCUGCAUAGUUCAACAAUCUUCAGUAGCAACAAAAGUCAGAACAACACCCAAAAGCAUUUUCACCAAGUUCAUGCAUAACAGCCAUUAGCAGCAAAAGGAGGCCAAAUAACACCAGAAGCAUGUACUACCAGGAAUCAAUAGUAACUGCAUACGAUCUUCAUGCUUGCAAAUGAAUUGGUAUACCCAGGUCUCCAAAGUUUUGUCACUUCUGUAAGAUAGGAAACUGCGCAUACCCUCAUUGUUUGGGCCUGCAAGACAGAGAUAUUCACCAAUAAGGAUCGUAUCUUCAUUACUAAUAUUUAUCUCAUCAAUUCUUGACCGCAAUGCAGCACUGGGGUCAAUAAGUUGUGGCAAUUGGGGCGCAGGAGGAGGAUUAGCAAGAGUCUGCUGGAUUGCUUUCAUUAUGGUGGUGAUAUGUUCAAUAGCAUUGGUGAAACUACUCUUAGGCUGCUUCAUCGUCUUAGUGGGUGAUUUCACAUCUCUAGGUCGCUUCUUACCAGCCUGGUGUUUCUUAGAUGAGCCAAUUCCACCACUUGCUACCACUUUACUACUUGGAGGGGCUGGUAUUGUAUCAGAAUCAUUACCUUCAAGGUCAAUACUUUGUGGAUAAAUGAACAUGUCAUUCAGCUAUUCCGAGUCAGAGUCAGAUGGUCCGCUUCCAUCAUCCAAGCCUGUUUCCGGAUCCAUGGCAAGGGAACCAUCAGCAUUCAUGCCCGAGAAAAGUUCUUGCAUCUCAUGAAAGAAUUUGAUGGGCUUAGAGAGCAAGCGCCUGGCCCUAUCCUGCAAGCACGUGCAUAAUAAAUUAGUACCACAAAAAUCUAUAGGAAUGUAUUUUUAAUUUUUUAUAUAUAAACAAAGAAUUAAUACUCACACUAAGUUGCUCCUUUCCCGACUCUGAAAUUGUUACUUUGCAUUUUAUUUUGUCAAAACCAUUGCCACUCUUAUUCAUAGCUGUCUCAACUAUCGUCCAAUUCUCUUUGUAAUGUCCGUAGUGACAAUCAUCUUGGUCAAGUGUACCCCCCCCCCCCCCCAAUAGCAAACUCUUUGUUUAAAACAUCAGCACACUUCAUAUGGUGUUGCUUCUUGAAUACGAAGCCUGCAUGCUGUUCUUUUCGGUACUCGAUGUACCAAUUCACCAUGAACUUAGUUUGUUCAUCAUCCCAGCUCAUGGUUCUCUGCCGGGAACCUUCAUCACCAUACUUUCCCUUUCCCUUUGCCAUGGCUAAUUCAAUGAGAAAAAAGAAUGAUUUCUUAGGAAGUGAUGGGAUGUGCUAUAUUAAUCCACACGAUAACAAGCAGAACUAACACAGAAAUUAGCAGAAUUUAAAUAAUAAUAAUGAGCUUAUAUAGGUCACACAAGUAGAAAUGAGUGCAUGUGGGUACUGGGUAGCAACAAAAACAAUGUAAUGGAGCCACAACAGCAUAGGACAUCAAUGAGUACAGGUUACAACACAUAAUAAAGUACUACACACCAUUCUCGACGUUGUUGCCCUUGAUGUUUUGAUUGGCAUCCGGUUGACCUACUUAUCUUGCCACAUACGACGUGCUAGCUGGUCCCUUUUAAGUGCCCAGCUCCGACUCAUGCCUUAUGCCACGGUGCACUCUACUGCUCCUUGGGAGGGCUCUAUACCAAGAAUCUUCAUCAUUUCUUUUUUGAGAAUCACAGGGGGAAGGAGGGGGGGGAGCUCCCCCACCUGAAUAUAUUACUCAAAGGGCUGCCGGGGCAGCAAGUACAGAAUUACAUAGGCACGGUGCAACGUGCAGAGAGGUAGGAACGCCACGAGAAGACGUCCUCCUUGUCUCGUGUUUCCACAAGACGGUGUGACCAAAGGUCUAAGUCAAAAAUAAGGUUCCUAAGGGUUAUUACAGAACAUUGAUCAACACUCCUAAACAACAUAUCAUUACGUGCUGUCCAUAUCUUCCAUAGUAGUGCCAUGAGGACCAAGGACCAUGCUUUUUUGGGGAGGUGAUGAGGCAGAGAGGCGUCCCAAAGCUCAUUGAUGUCGUCGGUUUGUGGCAGUAUCCCGAUUCGUUGCCAUAUCCUGUUGGCAAGUGGGCAUGUGAUGAAGAGGUGCAUGGAGUCUUCGGGUAACCUAGCACAUCGGGGGCAUAAAUCAGAGGAGAUUAUAUGCUUAUGGGCAAGGUUGACCCUGGUAUUGAGGCGGUCCUUGAAGAGUAGCCAGGCGAAGAUUUUUAGCUUGCGAGGAGCCUUGGUGCCCCAGAUGAGAGGGGCAAUGAGAUCGUUGUCUGGCCGGGCCAUGAGGGCGCCGUACGCGUGCUUGGUGGAGAAGCCAUGGCCUCGGUUUAGGAACCUUUGAUCUUCCUCCGCCGAGGGCAUGAAGUCCUGCAAAAUAGCCAAAAGCGAAACAAGCUCUUGUUCUGCCGUAAGAGAGAGACGAUUAUUGAGGUUAGCUUCGGGACCGAAACGCAAAAUAUUAGCCACUUUAACCAGCUCUAAGUUGGAGUGUGAGAAGAGGUGGGGAAAGGUGGUAGCUAGGGGUUUUGGGGUCAACCAGGUGUCAAGCCAGAAAUAUGUAUGUGAGCCGUUUUUUGGUAGCACAAAUGAGAUAGUCUGUAGGGUGGGGAUUUGCUGUGCAAUUGUGCGGCAAAGAAAGGAGGUUUGAGGAGACGAGGAGACUAGAGCGUUGGGGUGUUGAAGGUCUAGCCAUUCUAGCCAAGGUGUCUGUGCAGAGGAGAGAGCUUUGGCUGCAAAUUUCAUGAGUAGACAAUUAUUUUGGACAUGCAGGUUUUUAAGCCCUAAACCACCGAUUUUUUUUUGGUAAGCAAACAUUUUUCCAUGCAAUAAGGCAUUGAGCUCCUGAAUAAGCAUCGUCCCCUGCCAAAAAAAAGCCCUUCUUAGAGAGUCAAUGACUUUGAGGGUUUUCUUGGGAAUGCGGAACACCGACAUGAAGUAGGUAAGGAGGGAGUUCAGAACCGCGGAGAUGAGAAUGAGACGGUCGCCCUUGUCAAAUAGUUUACCACGCCAGCCCGUCAGUAGGUUGCGAGAUCGUUCUAUCAACGGAGCGAAGGCAUUGGUAGGAGGCAUUGGUAGGAGGUUUAGUUGGGGCAAGGGGUAGGCCGAGAUAAGUUUGAGGGAAGGGUGCGCGAGAGCAACCCAUGGCAAGGGCAGUGGCAGUGGCCAUGGUAUCAUCUAUGUGGAGGGUGGCUAGAGUGGUUUUGGAGAAGUUGAUGGUGAGGCCCGUAGCUUGCGCGAAAUUGUUUAGGGUUACUUUGAGGGCUGCGGCGGCGACAGGGGAGGCGGCUGCAAUGAUGAGCGUAUCAUCGGCGUAUUGGAGAACGGUGGGAGGCAAGUGGGAGAAGAUGGGGUGGUGGGGAGCAGACUUAGAGCUCUGGAAGAUGAGCUGUUGAAGCAGGUCGGCGACGAUGAGGAAAAGGUAGGGGGAGGCCGGGUCGCCUUGCCGCAAGCCAUUCUUGCAUUGUAUCCAGUUGCCUGGGACCCCAUUCAGGAGAAUGGCAGCUUUGCCCGUGUGAAGAAUGUUUUGCAUCCAGGUACGAAAGGUUUGAGAGAAGCCACGAACGGCCAGGAUCCUGUCAAGGGCGGGCCAAGCCACGGAGUCGAAAGCUUUUCAGAAGUCGAGCUUAAAAACCAUGGUUGGUCUUUUGCGAGAGUGGCAAGAGCUAAUGAGGUCGGCUGCAAAAACGUAGUUCUCGCCGAUAUUCCUGCCGGAGAUGAACCCAGUCUAAUUGCCAUGGACUAACAUAGGAAUGAGCGGUUUGAGACGAGAAGUGAGGACUUUAGCAACAGCUUUGAUUGGGCAGUUCUGCAGAAAGAUAGGCCUGAAAGCGUCGGGUGAGGUUGGCGUGUCCUUCUUUGGAAGGAGGACGAUGUGAACACGGUUUAUGCGUUCUGUAUCUGACCCACCUUGGUGAAAUUGGGAGAAGAAAGGUAGAACUACGUGUUUGACUAAGGGCCAGUAAGUUCUAUAAAAGGACAGGUUGUGGAUAUAUAGCGUUCAGAUCAAAAGCCCAUGUCGUAGUGGCUGUACCAAUGAGGGAGACGAAGAAAUCCCUAAGAAUCUCCGCUUUGUGGUGGUGAGAGGUGAAAUCAUUACCAUCGCGUGAGGGUAAAUAUUUUGUUUUUUCUAAGCCAGUGGGAGGCAGACAUGUGGAAGAAUUUUGUGUUAUCCCUGCCGUGGAUGGCUCGUGACACUUUAGCACGCCAUCUCCAAUAGGUCAUUUUCUCUUGGAUUGUGCAUUUGAGGAGAAACAAUAAUUUUGCGAGUGAGAAGUUCUGGAUGGGACAGAGCUCUAGAUUCUUCAGCGUGAUCUAACGCAGCGAUUGUAGAUUUGCAACUAGACUCGCGAAGGGGAGCAGGGAUACGUGAUCAUGCCCAUUUUUUUAGCCCGGCCUGAGAUUUUUUGAGCAUGGAGGCAAGAGCAGCGGCAGAGUUGACUGACGAUGUGGGCUGAGAUGGAGCCCAGAUUCUCCUGAUAAUGUCUCCACAUGGCUGGAAGUUGGCCCAGCCAGGCUUGAAUUUAAAGAAAUUGGACCGAGGAAUCGUUGUGGUGACGUGGACGAGGAGGGGGACGUGAUCGGACGUAAAACGCGUGAGUGAAGAUAAUGAUGUGUUAGGGAAGGCGUCAGCCCAGCCUAAGUUAAAGGAAGCUCGAUCGAUCCGUUCUAAGGUGGGCGUAUCUCUAUUGUUCGACCAGGUGAACUGGCGAUCAAGUAGCGGCAACUCUAUGAGGGCUAGGUCGUCUAAGGUUUGGUUGAAAGCGUUGGCCUCAGAUUGUCGGAAGGCAUGAUUGUUUUUGUCAGAGGGGAAGCGAAGGAGGUUGAAGUCUCCAGCAAUAAGCCAUGGGGAAUCAUCUGGUUGUGCGAUAGUUAGGAGCUCGUUUAAGAAAGAUUGUUUGAGUGCACGUGAAGAGGGGGCGUAGAUAUUAGUGAUGGCAAUGUUGCGGGCGCAUGCCGUUGAUUGCAAAAUCAGGGUGGAGGAGAAGGUGAGGUGUGUGAAAGAGACAACUUGAAAAUAAGUUGUGUUGACUGUAGAAAUAGUGCCACCCUCCGUGCCCAUGGUGGGUAACGAGAAAACUUGAUCGAGUUGUCGUGGCAAGAAGGAUCUUAGUUUGGGGUCGGAGUAAGUAUCUAGUUUUGACUCAAGAGGGUAAUGUGAGGUUUGAUCGCAAUCAAUUCAGAGAGGACGUCAGAGCACUUGGCAUCAUCGCCUAAACCACGUACAUUCCAGGAGCAAAUGGAGAAUGCGACAUUACUCAUUAAAAAGGUUCAAACACCGGUAGGCAGAGCAGAGGUACAACGGGUCUACAGGCGCAAAAGUUACAGAGAGGUACGACAACAGUACUAAAACUAACGACAGCGGGUACAACGACCAAAAGUAUAACGACACACUUAGAACAUGCGGUGUAACAGAAACGGGCGGGAGCGGCCAGUUGCGCCCUGACGGGCUGUGAAUGCGUGGAGUGCUGAUCAUGGAGCAUCGUGCUCACCGGAGGCAGAAGCCUCAGAUCCAAGGAUGGCGUCAAGAUGGCCGUCGUCGGCACCACAGAGCAGCGCAAUGGCAGCCAGGUCUUCAGCAGAGGCAGGAGGGGCAUCAGCGACGUCAAGGCGGGCAUCUUGGAUGGCAUGAUCAAUGGCAGUGCCCACGCCCGCGGCAGAGAGGCGAGAGGCGAGCGGCCUUGGCCUUGACGGCCUUGGCGAGCAUAGGCAAGUACUUGGCCUCCUUGCCAGCAAGCCGCGCGCUACGGCGCAGCUUGUCCUUGGAGUAGGAGUGGUCACGAGCUGUCUUGCGGCGCUCCUUGCGGAUGGUGCACUCAUGAGUGUCCAGGUCCUCGAGAGGAAGAGCUGCGUCCAUGUUGGCAGUGGUCAGCGCAUUGGUAGCAGAGGAUACAAGGUUUGAUGGAUUGAGCAUAGGAGAGGUUGGGGGGUUACCAUUUGCACAUGACGAUUCACCGGCAGAGAAAGUGAAGGUAGGGAGGGCGGCAGAGCCAUCUGCGAACGGCACGAACAUAGUGAAAGCGGACGCGUCGGACGGCAUCAGCGGGCCAUCAGGCAGAGCAGCAGCCGACAGGCGGGCGGGCGGAUCUGGAGGCACAACAGAUCCCACCCGGGGAGCCGGGCAGAUGACAAGUGGGGACCGCACAGGCAGGGGGUGCAUGCACCGUGUCCACGCCAUGCAGGAGCAGGGCGUGCAUGUCCUCAGAGCCAGGUGAGUCGUCGUCAGAGAUGAUGAGGGGUUGGCGCACAGUGCCAGGUGGUGGGAAAGGUGAGGACAGAGCAGAUUCGCCCGUACCGUCGCCAGGAGAGGCAACAGGCACACGUGAACCGCCGCUGGCAUGGCGGGCAACCUGUCUGGUGCCGCCGUAGGUGGGGUCCGCGCGCCAACCAGCUCUGACAGCAGAGAUGACUGGAGCGAGGUGGUCUGGGGAGAGAGGACAUGGGGAGCAACGUUGGGAGAGCGGGGCAGAGUCCCCAUCGGAGGAAUCGCCACCGAAGGGGUUGGCGCCUUCGCCAUGAUGCCAGUGGGAAACCUCUACAACUUUUGCUAUUUUGAUCUCAUUGAUGGGAGGGAGUUGGAUGACAAUGCCAGGAGGAGCUGGUUUGCCGGACUGGAGCAGCACAAGGGCGCGGACUGAGGUGUAAUCUAUGCCAUGGAGGCAGAAAUCAUCGACGACACAGACAUCGCCAAGGAAGGCCAGGGCGAAGCGGAUGCCAUCGCUCUGCCAGAGCUCGUGCGGAAACUCGGAGACCUCGAUUUCCGCGAGGUCGGUGAAAACGGCAAUGGCACGGUCAACAUGCUCUACCGGCUCUAUGGUGAUCACAUUGCCUUCAAAGUCUAUGGGGCUACGGCGGACGACAUCGUUGCGGGCAGCAGGAGUAUGGAAGGUGAGGCAGGCCACCCCACGCCAGGACCUGCCCAUAAUGAAGGCAGGGUUGCCGCUAGUGUGCUGAAUGGCGCGGCGGAUGAGGGGGUGGGAUUGGGGUUGGGGUUCUGUAGGUGCGCGAAAGUGAAGCGGCGCGGGUAGUGGACUAGGCAGGGUGGAGCGGCGACGAGCGGCAUGUCUCCAUAGGGAGGCAGUGGCCCAGCCUCAUGGACUGGACGAGGCAGCUCGUCAUCAGAGUCUGUUUCAGAUACGUGCGAGGUGGCCCUCGUGUGUUGUGAGGCGAUGAAAACGUCGGAGAGAUGAUCCACAGUUCUUGGGUGUCGAACGGGGAUGUGGGCGUGUGAUUGGUAUCGUGGAGAGGAGUGGUGGGGGUGGGUGGAGGGGCUGAGGUGCGCGGUGGUGAGGGAGGGGGAAGGAGGGCUCCGUUUGCGCGACGGGAACGCCAUGGAGGAUGAAGGGAGAUGGGACGCAGACGGCUGGGAAAGGCUCGGAGAGGAUGAUACGGACAUCCGAUCAUGAGAGUGCGCGGGCCGCGUGCCGCCGCCGACGAGGAGCUACCAGAGUCCAUGCUGCGAGGGCAGAAAGUUGGAUCAGGGCUAGGAGGGAAAGAAAGGCCAGAUCCGUUUGUACCUGCAGUCGCGGAUGCGGUGGCCGUUCCGCCAACAGCGAGCGCAGCGGAUGGGGUCGCGGCAGGCUUCGACACAGUGGUCUAAGGCGAGGCACUGGAAGCAGCGUCGCCUCCUUUUGGUGGAUGGUGGUGGGUGAGAGUGAAGAUGAAAGGGAAGGAGAUGCCGAUGUGGUAGGGGGGCGGGGCUGCGGGUGGCUGCGGCCGUGGGGGGAGGAGAGGAGAACAUCUCUGUAUGACCUUGUCGUGGCGCUGUUGGACCGCAUGGGCAGCAUAUCUGCCGUCAGAGCGGCGUGAUCUGUUGCGUGUGCCAGUGCGCGAGGCGACUGGGGCUUAUGGCGUGGUGAUCGAGCGGACGGAUUAGGCUGCAGGGAGGUUUUAGGCGCGAUGAUGAUGGCUAGAUACCGUUUAGAGGUAGCUUGGGUGAGCUGCAAGGGCGGGUAUACGCGUGACGGCUCGGCUUCGUCAGUUCCCGAUACAAGAUUCUCGCACGGUGAGGUCGCAGGGGCCGCGUGUGGGGGGGCAGGGGGCGGCGCGGCGGAGCCCGGAUUAGACGCGGGGGGGGGGGGGGGGGGCGUCCAUAUUUGGCACAGACAGAGAGACAAGAGGGGAUACCUGGGUUCGCGCGCCGUCCUUGCGCACAUGCGCAGCAGCAGUCACCGCGUACGGAUCUUUUGCAAGAUUUGGUUUGUCUAGGGCCGCCGCACAGCCAUCAUUAUGCAUGGGGUGGGCCAGGGGUUCAUGCAGGGCUGACCGGUCGUGCUCGCAGCACGUGACCGUGGGGGAUGGCUGGUGCGGUGCAUGGACAGGCAGGUGCUGCUGAUCAAAAGGGCCAAGGAUGGAUGCAAAUCGAGGGGGCUGGGGAGAGUAAGAAAAAUUGUUAUAUAGAUGGAGGAAUGACUGCAGUGAGCAACGGCCGGUUCUAGUUGGUCAAAGAGGAAAAGACGAAACCCUUCAAAGUCAAGGGACCCAUGCUUGAGAAUUUGAAAUUUGAUUGAGCGGGAGAUGCCAGACUUAAAAAUAAGCUCAUGAACCUUGACCGCAAGAAAAUCUUGUUUGACCGAAAAACAGUGAUUUAGGGCUGACUCGACUAGCAUUUCAUUAGGCCUAACACUAAUUGGCAUGAAAGUGAUCCAGAAUAAAUGAGAGUGGUAAGUGUAAUGCACGUGAGGGGGGAGCUGGCUAAAACGAUUAACAUUAAGCAUGCGGUAAAAGAAGCUAAUACCAGGCCGUUGUCGUCGCACCUUAGGCAGAUCGAGAGUUGUUGAGGCUGGUGGGAAGGAUGCAGAGACGACCGCCGACGGUGAGGAUGACGUGGUGCCAUACGACGGAGGCAUGGCAUCUCCAGGAAUCGAGCCUCGGGCACCACCCAAGGGUGGUGGCCAGGGGAAACGGAUCAGCAUGCCCUUCUUGUGGAAGUCACCCAUGGAGGCGAUGAGCUUGGCGACUUCUUGCGAGGCGACGGUGAACGAGAAACAUGAGUCACCGUCGUCCGUGACGUUGAAGCUGUGGUGGAAGCCGCCGAACAGACGAGCAAGGAUGAGGGCCAUUGAGGUGGCAUUAAGGGCGAACGGGAACUGGAUGACGCGCAUACAUGCGGCAUCCGUGUGGCUGGUUGCAUGGAUCAACGGAGACUGGAGAUCGGAGUUGUGACCAUGCGACGCCUUCAAAGUGAAGACCCAGGUCAUCUGGAAUUUGAAGCAGGUGUGCAAGCGACAUGCAAGACACAGCGGCCUGGGGUGGUGGUGGAAGCGGGGGCAGGGUUCUAGUGAAGAAGAAGGCGAAGUUGUGGUGGCGGACCCUGGUUUGGGCGAGGAUGAUCUCUGCGACACGCGAUGAGGCAACAUGGAGGCGGAAAACAAGAGGAGAGCCCAUGGCCACGAAGAAUUCAGCAGCACUGCCGCCAAGAACAGCUUGAAGCAGAGCAGCGACGACAAUGGCGUCGAGGUGGCGGUUGGAGAAGUCGAAGACGAUGUAGAGGGGUGAUGCGAGGUGGAGUUCUGGGGUGGUGAUGUCAAGGCGGUGGUAGUAACUGCAGUCGUCCUCAAACUCCAGGCCCAUGGCGUUGCCGCACCCCAGGAAGCAGCGGAGAGCUACCUGGCCGGCUUUGACAUAGGGCAGGUCAAAGAAAGGCGAUGGAGGAGGCGCAACAGAGGGGAGGAGUGCGUCCAGAGGAUUGGUGGCGAGGGCGAGGUCAGGUUGAGGGCCAUCCGGGGGGUUUGUGGUGACUGGAGCGUGGCUGGAGGCCGGAGGUGGAGGUGGAGGAGGGGGAGGAGGAGGUGGGAGAGCGAGAGCGAGAGCCAUCAACACCGUGGUGGUCCUGCGAAAAACAUUUGGAGUGGAUAUCACCAUUCUCUAGGACAUACUCGUCAAUACCAUUCUCUAGGAUCCAAUUGUGAAGUGCACAACAUGCAACCACAACCUUCACUUGCGUUUUCAAAGGGAAAUAUGGCUGACUUGAAAGGAUAUUGAAACGAUUCUUCAAGGCCCCAUAUGCUCGUUCAACUGUUGUACCACAUGAGGAGUGGCGGUGAUUAAAUAAUUCCUUAUAAUCUGAUGGAUUUGUAUCCCCUCUGUAUUCUUUUAGGUGAUAACGAACACCACGGUACAGCGGUAGUAUUCCAGGUCUACUUGCAUAUCCAGCACCAGGUAAGAAGAAUUUUCCUACAAUAGAAAAUGCCUCCUAAAGUUAGAUAUGAACUAAUUUGAUGUUUGAUAACUUCACAAUAGCUGCUAGGUGAAAUCCUACCUUCUGGUAUUUUUAAUCUAGUGGGACGACUUAAAGCAUCUUGAAGCACUAGAGAGUCAUGGGCAGAUCCCUCCCACCCAGCAAGCACAUAGAUGAAUCGCAAGUCAAAAUCAACAGCUGCUAGGACAUUUUGAGGUGGGAUGGACUUAAAGCCCCUAAAUCUGUCUUGCAUAUGUAAAGGCACAAAUGCCGGCAUAUGUGUACCAUCCAAGGCCCCUACGCAUCCCUAGGAAAAGGCAUGAUGUUCAACUAGUUGAGUAUGUAGCUCACGUGUGCUUUAAAAAAUUAGUGCAGUGAUAUAUUUUAUUUUUACCUUGAAGCAAGGAUGAAACCUGCCUGGGUUACUUGUGAUCUUUUCAUGCAUUUCAGUGCUUCUCAUGUAUAUCGAUUCUUUGGAAAGCUUGACGAGUGCAUCUAAAACAGCAUGGAAAUACCUACUAACCGUCUCAUUAGAUCAGAAAACCCUGAAACCUAUAGACCUGUUUGCCCACUCUUGUCCCACUGUAGGCAUAAACAUUGCAACUUGUUCUUCCACUGUGACAACAACUACAAAUGGCUACUGCUCUAAUAAAUCCAGAUCAAAUGAGCAACUAAUCAUGAAGUAAGAUAGAGAAAUCAAAUAGAUAAAAAGGUGAAAGACCAGUGGCAUGAGUGGCCAUGAGUAUUACAAGGAUUACAUGGAGAAGUGUCAUAGAUAAAGGAAGAUUGAUGGAAACACAAUACCUUGAAGAGAGAGGUGGAGUAGAAGCUGCAAUACGUGGGGUUGAUUCCAGGCCAGAGCCCACACAGCGUGCACCUCCGCAACUAUCACAAACCAGUGAUGGUGCUCAAGAACUUGGAUCUGGAAGGGGAUUUCGAGUGGAAUGAGUAGGGGCUUGGCAAAUAAAUAGAGGGGAAUCUGGAGAGGUUUAGUAGGUAAAAAUAUUUUUCAAGGAGAGGGGAUUUCAGAUUUGGAGAAGAGAGCGAUCUGGGGAGAGGAGGAUCUGUGAGGAGAGAUGCGUGAGAAGAGGAAAGUGCCAUGGGAGAACGGGAGGAGGGGAAAAGACAACAGUUCGCGCGUUUUUUAGUCGAGAGCGGUGAGAUGCUCCUGUUCGCACCCAAAAAAAUCGUACGGGUGGCAGAGGAAACCCAACUUUUCCCUCCACCUGCAGCGUGCCGAAGAUUUGGCGGACGAAUCCGGCGCCACAAGUCGGGCGAAGAAAAGUGCAGCGAGAUUCUGUGGCAACCCAACCUAAGGCAGAGAAACAAACGCUAGCCUAAGUGAGCACCUACCGUGAGGCAUGGCUCCCAACCAAACAUGCCCUUUGUUUGAGCUAUACCUGAUACUGUAUCUGAGCAUAUAAUCUCAUGCGUUGAUGUGGUUAAUGCACCCCUUAUUGUCUGGUAGGUACUGCCUAGAACAUCUUAUUUUGAAUAUCGUAUUUUGUGGUAUAUAAUAUGAUAGAGCGUUAGUUGGGCUUUUGUGGUACUCACUGAUAGGCUUUCAGUUUAGGAGUUAUUGUGGCAUCUUGAUCCGUGAGAGUAUGUUCAUGUUGAAGAAACUAUAAGAAUAAAUAAGGAGGGAAGAGAAAAAUAUUUGUUAUCUGGCUUGCUUGCCUAAUGAAGCUCAUGUGGACCAUUUAUAGUUUGUAUUAUUAGAGUUUGGUUGUAGUAUUCAUACAAAGAAGUAUGAGCGCCACGUUGAAAUAUGGUUCUCGCGGUAAAAAGUGAUCCUUGAAAUUGCAAGUAUCAUGAUAAUGGUGUAAUGUCUGCAAAUCAGAUUCUGUAGCCAGAAUAAUAUAUGUGCUACCUUCAGCUAUAUAUGUACAUCAAUUGUUUAACUAUUGUUCUUUGGAUUGUUUCAGUGAACUGCUAAACAGUGGAUGUAACUAGGUUGACAUUGAUUAAGAAGUGCUAAACAGUGGACGAAGCUAGGUUGACAUUGAUUAAGAAGUACUCACCCCGUAAAGAAAUAUAAGAGCGUUUAGAUCACUACUUUAGUUUCUUAGUGAUCUAAACGUUCUUAUAUUUUUUUACAGAGGGAGUACAUAGUUUGUAGGUUGUUUGAUCUACUAUAUCAGGCGGCACCUGGAUUCUCAUGGCUCUCCCGACAAUGGUCAGUGUACAUUUUACCUAGAGCUAUGGUGAUCAAUACUGAAAAGCUUUCCUGCAGAUUAUUAACUGCUAUAAAUCAUGCACAGUCCUCCCUAAAAGGAAAAUCAGACACAAAAUUGUAUUUACUUCUCCAAGCAUAUAUUUUACUGGAGCACAUCUUUGUAAGACCAAUAUACCAUAUUAUUUUAUUGUUAUUCACUUGUUCAUUUUCACAUUUGAGAUGUAAACAUUGAUACCACAUCAUGCAUGCUUCAGGCAAUUAUUUCUUUUCUUGCAUUCUUCUGUGGAAAUAACUAAAUCCAUAUAGGUUGAACUGUUACUUUCUACUCCCUCCGUCCCAUAAUGUAAGACGUUUUUUAACACUAGUGUAGUGUCAAAAAACGUCUUACAUUAUGGGACGGAGGGAGUAAUUCGCAAACCAGUAUGGUAGCAAUCAUAUGGGUUAAUAUUGCUAGACUAAUUGUUUAGCUAGGUAUUUAUUUACUUUGUUCGAUUCCUGCCUUUUAUCAUUACCACUUCAUAUUUUAUUGGUGAAAUAGCAUAAAAGAGGAUGGUAUGUUUUUGUUUUUCCCAUUGUCAUCACAAAAGGAGCAUAUGAAUAGCAAUAUAUUUCGUUCAAGAAACUUUUUCAGCUUUAAGAGAUAAGCACUAUCAUUUUAAAUUCGGGCAUGUUACUUACGUGAUUGUUGAGUUACUUACUGUAGUUGAUAGUAUAGAUGUACUUUCUGAUGAGACGGUUGGUAAAAUAGUAGUAGUAAAUAAUAUAGAUUCAGCUGUAUUUACUUUGCCCUGCUCUCCCUGAAGUUAUUAAGUGAUUCAUCUGUUCUUUGCUUCACAUGUUAUACCACUGUCCUCGAUGGAGGCAAUUGGGAUCUAGCAAAUUUGAAUUUCCAUCUUACAUUCAGAGACAUCUCAAUUGCUUCAGUAUGCCAUUCUCUUCUCCUCUUUGACGAUACACAGAACAAACUUUCUUUAACGUUUACUGCAGCAUUUGGAAGUAUUUUGCGCAUCACGGUGUGUUGGAGAGAGUGAGGCCACUUCAUAAAAUGACCAGUUGCAGUGCCUUCAAACUUACCUAAUUCCUGGCAGAAAUCAAAACCAAAAGGCAGCAAUCAGGUACAUCAAACAGAGAAAUAGUGAGACCGCGCGGCGGCAUGGCUCAAUGAUGCAUGGAUGCGUCGAGCUUCUGGCCGAUCACGCAAUGAAGAUUCAUCUUCAUUGCAAGAAACUAUAAACAGUUUGUUGGAAGAAAAUAGAAGCACAACAUUUUUCAGACCUUUUUAGUGGGUAGUACCACCAUAAGUUAGUAUCAUGUGCGUAUAUGAUACGUAUUAAUGCAUGAUGUAGUCUUUACAGGAUUAUAGCGCAUAAUAUCAUAGAUUGAUAUAUUAUAUGGUCUCCCUUACAAUUUUAGAUGAUUCAUUUGAGUACCUCAUUUAUAUGAUACAAUAUCAUUGCUUUGAUACCGGUGUCAUCUUUGUUUUUACUAUUCCCUCCGUCCCAUAAUAUAAGAGCUAUGAUACUAGUUUGGGUCUAGUGUGACCGCAAGCCUACGGGUCACUCAUGGCAUGUUCCCGUGGAUUGGUGGUGUCCCGUUUGUGUCCCACCUGGUAUCGGACCCACAUGCUAGUUGCUUGGGGUUGGCUCCGUCUCGCGUGUAACUCGACGGCAAGAUUCCGCGUUACGCUAUUAUGGCCAUGCUACCACAGUUGUCGGCGUACGUAAACAGUCACGGAGAUGAGGGCCCGCCGGUACGCCGUGUCCACAUGUCAGUGUUACUUAUUUCGCUAGGUGAGGUGACACGGAGACGCGCACCGCGCCGUGCUCACCUUUGCUUGUCGGAAUUGUUGACCUUUAGCGGGCCCGGACGCGCAAAGCUACAAUACAAAUUCGUUCGGAUCCUAUUACGGUGGCUCGAGAUCUGCAAGACGCAAACCGUACGCGUAUUUUAUAGCUGGAAAGAAAUAAAUCCUCCACCGCUCAACGAGGCUCUCCCCUCCCUCUCGUUGCCCCUCGACUCAUCCUCUCAUCGUGAUCUCGUUCCCGUUCCCGUUCCCGGCGAAGAGAGAAAGGCAUGGCGAAGAAGCCAUCAGGAGAUGCUCGUCGGGCGCUGCACCGGCCGUUUGUGCGCAUCGCACGGCCGGUCAACCACGUCGUCGUAGAUCGCGCGGUCUACCCGGCCAGGGGCGGCUGCUGAUGGGGCGGAUCCGCGGCCAGGCUCGACGGGGAGCACAGCACGGGCACGAUGCAAGGAAUGGCUUCAAACAAACACAAGGGGCAAUAAAGAAAGGGCUACGGCCAGGGGUUCUGAUGCUGAUCUGUAUGGAGGGGUGAACGCACUUGCUGGAGACGAUUUGGAGAGCCAGUUUUACUCAAAGGAGACGAUUUGGAGAGCCAGUGUGAAGAAGGGUCCGAACAAGCUUCGCCCACACAAAGAUGCCAUGGCCAGGGCUGAUGUCAUUAAGAGUGGAAGCUAUGGUGGCAUGACAAUUGUCCACCCAUCACCAGCUGUCACUAAAGAUGUAGCACAGAAGUAGAUCAGGAAGACCUCGGGGCCACUAUGCACAAUAUUUUUAUCAGGUGUUGUUUCCAAUGACAUCUGAAGUUAUUUGCUCCGGGGUUUCAUCAUCACGCCUGUUUGCACAGUUACCUAGUACCCCAGUUUUUGCACUAAAUGUAUGGUCUUCUGUGACCUGACUAUCUGAAAGUGAAGUUUUUGUAAUAGAACUAUAAUGAUUCGUACGUAUGGUCAUCUAUGACCUGACUAUUGCUAUAUAUGUGCUAUGUAUGACUACUGCUGAAAGUAAUAAUGUCUUUUACCA